CGGUAAAUUACUACAUAAGCAUUGAAUGGCCCCUGUACUGAAACCCACAGGAGAGCAGUAAAGCAGAUCAGAUCAGGGGUCUUGUAUAUACAUAAUACCUGAUCAAAUAAUGACAUAGAAAACCACUUUCAUUUAAUUCCAAAGCAUUUUGUUUCAAAUGUAAAUCAUUUUAAUUCUCUGUGUGUCAAUGCUGGUAUUCCAAAAUGACUACAUUGCGGACCAUGCCAGAUCUUACAAGCCUGGAUAGCUUUAACAUAUCAGCAUUCCAUACCGUAUGAUAAAGUAAGCUGAUGCUCACAACUAUUAUUUGAUGAAAUGAAAUGUUUGCAAUGCAGUCAGCUUGGAACGUGCCCAUUAGCUCCCAACUCUGUAGUAUCAAUGACUCCAACACUCAACUGAUUAAAACCGAAUUGUACACUACAGCAUAGAAACAACCAUCUAUUGUUAUAUUCUAAUAAUGCAAGUAUUUAUCUUAACCUGUAUUUUACUUAUUGUUUUUUUGUUUAAUUAUAAAACAUUCAUUAUUCAAUAAAUCCGCAGGGGAAAGGAAGCCUGUAACAGAGUCUAGAGAUACUGUUCUUUACACCAGAAGGUGUUGUCUUUAACAGAGUUUAGUGAUACUGUUCUUUACACCAGAAGGUGUUGUCUUUCACAGAGUAGAGAUCCUGUUCUUUACACCAGAAGGUGUUGUCUUUAACAGAGUUUAGAGAUACUGUUCUUUACACCAGAAGGUUUUGUCUUUAACAGAGUCUAGAGAUACUGUUUUUUACACCAGAAGGUGUUGUCUUUAACAGAGUAGCGAUUAUGUUCUUUACACCAGAAGGUGUUGUCUUUAACUGAGUAGAGAUACUGUUCUU
rnacentral:lncRNA from 1 species